UAGCCGUAAACGAUACUCGCUAGGUGUCGGCCACGGUGCGACCGUUGUCGGUGCCGUAGGGAAGCCGUGAAGCGAGCCACCUGGGAAGUACGGCCGCAAGGCUGAAACUUAAAGGAAUUGGCGGGGGAGCACAACAACGGGUGGAGCUUGCGGCUUAAUUGGAUUCAACGCCGGAAAUCUUACCGGGACCGACAGCAACAUGAAGGCCAAGCUGAAGACUUUGCCGGAUUAGCUGAGAGGAGGUGCAUGGCGUAGUCGUG
rnacentral:rRNA from 1 species